rnacentral:tRNA from 1 species
ACCGAGGUGGCGAAAUUGGUAAACGCGGAGGCUCUGGAAGCCUUCAGCUCUCGCUUUGUGGGUUCGAUCCCCGUCCUCGGCACCA